UUUGUGUGCUUUAGAUCGAUUAAUAUUAUAUAUGAUAUAUUAUUUUGACACACGAUCUAAAACUUAAUUUUUACAAAACUCUAGAUCCAAAAUCCUAGACUUUGUUUGCAUGAGAGCAUGAAAUUGUGACUGAUAUGCCUGUGGAAUCGACUCAAUUCUUGAUUGGAUCGACUCGAGUUGUUCAGGUGAGUUGACUCAUUUUUGUUGGAGUCGACUCAAGACCCUGGU
rnacentral:lncRNA from 1 species